rnacentral:rRNA from 1 species
GACGAACGCUGGCGGCGUGCUUAACACAUGCAAGUCGAGCGGUAAGGCCCUUCGGGUACGACGAGCGGCGAACGGGUGAGUAACACGUGGGUGACCUGCCUCUAGCUCUGGGAUAAGCCUGGGAAACUAGGGUCUAAUACCGGAUAUGACUCCACGGCGCAUGUUGUGGGGUGGAAAGCCUUGUGUGGCUAGAGAUGGGCCCGCGGCCUAUCAGCUUGUUGGUGGGGUGAUGGCCUACCAAGGCGACGACGGGUAGCCGGCCUGAGAGGGCGACCGGCCACACUGGGACUGAGACACGGCCCAGACUCCUACGGGAGGCAGCAGUGGGGAAUCUUGCGCAAUGGGCGAAAGCCUGACGCAGCGACGCCGCGUGAGGGAUGACGGCC